GCCAAGGUCGUUGGUUACACAGUAUCAUAGCAACAGCUGCUGGACACACCUGCACCUCCGUCAAAUUCCAUGAUCCCCGCAACCCAACCAUCACCAACCAUCACCAGUGUGUGGGGAGCCAGUCCACCUGAGGGGCAUGAACUGUGUUCCUAAGGCGUGCUGGGAUGGUCAGAAGAGGCUAGGAGGCUAAGGGCCAUGUUUACCAUGAGAGCGAGGGAGGGACCCCCACGCAGGACUCGACCCCAAGACCCCAGGAUCAGGACCCCAGCCGAAGGCAGACACAUAACAGACUGAGCCAUCCGGGCGCCCCCAUGUUUCACUUUUAUAACUAGAGAAAGAAAGCUUUACUGAAAAAAUGGAAAGACUACUUGGAAGCUAACUCUUCUUGGCAUCUCACUGAUCCUCCCUUUGGUGUCCCUGAGAAAAAGGCUGGCUGUCAACUCACCCACCUACAGGACCAUCUUCAGAACUGAAGACAGGGUUCUUGGCUCCCUGAAUACCUACUUUCCUCCAAGUUCAGGGGCUCUGACUCGACUCUGAAUUAGUCCCCAUCGGUCUCUAGCCUUAAAAUGUGGUGUCUUAUGCUGAGUUCCAUUCCCUCGAUUGCCUUAUCUGACACUUGGAAAGCCUGAGCAGCCUGGAGCCCACUUUGAGGUUACAAGGAAGAUCACAGUCCUUUCAUCUUGCCCACAG